rnacentral:lncRNA from 1 species
UGUUUGAUUUUCCAUUUCUACCAAAUACAACAUGAAGCAUUAUCCAAGGAUGGUGAAUUAGAGGCUUUUAGCAUGUCUUAGCCACUUGGAAAUUCAUAAAGAUAAACUCUGUGAGCUUUAAUUUAAGAAGAAAAAUGGGAAAUCCACAAGAAUUGUGAAGGACACCUCAGAUCCCAGGAAGGAGAAUUCAGGCAAAAAGCCCCCAUGCUGGCAUCAGGCGGAUAAGGGAUUUCAGUCAAGGAGAUGCCUACCUGGGGACAGAAUCUGGAAAAGACCUCAAAAUAGAUCUUCUCAAGGCACCCGGAGGCAAACGAGGCAUAGACACACUAGGAUAAAAGCUGUCUUCAAGUCAGAGCCCUCCCUAGGGCUCCAGGCAGAGCAAAGGACCAGAUCUCCCCCUCUGCACUCCCCACCUACAGAUGAGCACCC